rnacentral:piRNA from 1 species
UAUGGAUAGUAAAACGGUAGC